UACGUAGGGGGCAAGCGUUGUCCGGAAUCAUUGGGCGUAAAGAGCGUGUAGGCGGCCCGGUAAGUCCGCUGUGAAAGUCCAGGGCUCAACCCUGGGAUGCCGGUGGAUACUGUCGGGCUCGAGUCCGGAAGAGGAGUGUGGAAUUCCUGGUGUAGCGGUGAAAUGCGCAGAUAUCAGGAGGAACACCAAUGGCGAAGGCAGCACUCUGGGACGUGACUGACGCUGAGACGCGAAAGUGUGGGGAGCAAACAGG
rnacentral:rRNA from 1 species